UAUGGGGUAGUGUGUAGAUUGCUGAGGAUUUUAAUUGUUUUAACCCAUUUUUAAUAAGGUUUUAACAUAACAAAAUGUGAAAAAAGUGAAGGGGUCUGAAUACUUUCCCAAAGGCAGGCAACAGUUUUCCCAGGCCUCCACCCUGAAGGUUCACUGAAGAUCUCACCUUACUCAGGGUGUACAGUACAGUAUUGGACCAUAUCACCUACACCAAACCAGCAGAGAGCCUCAACAAUGGCCAGAUUGAAGGCCCCAGAGUGUUGGAAGGGAAAACGCCCAGUGAGAGGAGAGAAAACGUGAACCAUAUAAUGACUGCUGAGGGAUAUCAGGCUAAAUCGGAUUAUCUAUCAUACUCAGCCGUCUUGUGCUUUAAUUAAA